rnacentral:rRNA from 1 species
CUCCGGGUGAUCCUGCCGGACCGGACUGCUAUCGGAUUGAGAUUUAGCCAUGCGAGUUGAACGUCUUCUGACUGCAGGAGGCGUAGCAUACGGCUCAGUAACACGUAGUCAACCUGCCCUGGAGACGCGGAUAACCCCGGGAAACUGGGAUUAAUCCACGAUAGGUCACCUCAUCUGGAAGGAGAGAUGGCCCAAAGGGGAAUUGUGAGCAUGUUUCACUACUCUCGCUCCAGGAUGGGACUGCGGCCGAUCAGGCUGUUGGCGGGGUAAAGGCCCACCAAACCUGUAACCGGUACGGGCUUUGAGAGAAGGAGCCCGGAGAUGGACACUGAGACAAGGGUCCAGGUCCUACGGGGCGCAGCAGGCGCGAAACCUUCGCAAUGCGCGAAAGCGUGACGAGGUUAGUCCGAGUGGCUUCCGCUGAGGAGGUCUUUUGCUGGCUCUAAAAAGGCUGGAGAAUAAGGGGAGGGCAAGCCUGGUGUCAGCCGCCGCGGUAAUACCAGCUCCUCGAGUGGUCGGGGCGAUUAUUGGGCCUAAAGCAUCCGUAGCCGGUUCAGUAGGUCUUCUGCAAAAUCCAAUCGCUUAACGAUUGGCCCGCAGGAGAUACCGCUGGACUAGGAGGCGGGAGAGGUGGACGGUACUCCACGGGUAGGGGUAAAAUCCUUUGAUCCGUGGAAGACCACCAGUGGCGAAGGCGGUCCACCAGAACGCGCUCGACGGUGAGGGAUGAAAGCUGGGGGAGCGAACCGGAUUAGAUACCCGGGUAGUCCCAGCCGUAAACGAUGCGAGCUAGAUGAUCCAAUCGCAAAUCGCGAUUGGAGUGUCGCAGGGAAGCCGUUAAGCUCGCCGCCUGGGGAGUACGGUCGCAAGGCUGAAACUUAAAGGAUUUGCCGGGGGAGCA